rnacentral:lncRNA from 10 species
GUUUCCACUUCAGUCUCCGAUUGACCACAGGCCUUCAUAAGGUGUAUCUAAUUGGAGGCUUCAAAACAGCCCCUAGUGGCGUUGCCGGAUUCUUUUGGCUUAAUAAAAACCCUAAUGGUGGAGAGGGGUUCUUGAGCUCUUGAGCCACUCCCGCUCUGUGAAUUGUACUUUCACUUCUUCAGUAAACCUGCACUUUUUUUUUCUCUUUCCUUUUGUUGCUUUGUCUUUCAUUGCUUCGUUCUUUUGUUUCUUUGUGCGUUUUGUUCAAUUAUUUGCUCAACAUGCCCAGAACCUGGACAACUCACAGUAAAGACCUUCCAACAGAGACCAAUCUUCCUCUACUUUCUGAGUCCUGGGGAAGUAAGUAGAAAGGCUGCAAUGAUAUGGAGUUCCCAACUUUCAGCAUCCCGUCCAAUAGGUGCUACAGACUACAAGUCUUAAAAAACUUGUUCCUCAGAUCACUCACACUUGGACAUCAGAGAGCAACAGUAACUACUUCUAUGGCUGUUUCAGGAGUUUGUUUAGGUGGCAGGAAGAAGUGCCAAGGGAAGAAGGAAGAGCCCCCUAAAAAAUGAUCAGAUCUUGUCAAAACUCAUUCACCGUCACGAGAGAAGCAUGGAGGAAACUACCCCAUGAUUCAGUUACCUCCACUUGGUUUCUCUGUUCACACAUGCUGAUUACGGGGAUUGCAAUUCAAGAUUAGAUUUGGGUGGGAACACAAAGCCUAACUAUAUUAAGAAGUGAUCCCUAGAUAUCUAUUUUUUGAAUGGUAUUGUAGAAAAUUAUUAUUUCUUAAAUGUUUCGUGGAAUUCACUGGUGAAGUCUGGGACUGCAGCUUUCUUUUUUGGAAGGUAUUAAUUAUUCAAAUUCUUUAAUCAAUAUAUACCUAUUCAGAUUAUCUGUUUCUUCUUAUGAGGAGUUUGUAGUUUUUAUCUUUCAAAAUAUUGAUUAAUUUUAUCAAAGUUAUCAAAUUUGUUGGCAUACAGUCGUUCGUAGUAUUCCUUGAUUAUCCUUCUAAUACCCAUGAGAUGACCCUUCUUUUAUUUCUGAUAUUGGUAAUUUUUAUUUUCUCUUUUUUUCUUCGUUAAAGUACCUACAGCUUUAUCAAUUUUAUCAAUCUCUUCAAAAAAGAAGCUUGAAUUUUUUAUUUUCUGUAUUUUACUGAUUUUAAUUACAUUAAUUUCUGCUCUGUUUUUUAUUUCUUCUGCUUGCUUUAUGUUUAAAUUGCUCUCUGUUCUCUAUUUUCCUAAUAUGGAACUUAGAUUAUUAACUUUAGGUCUUUCUUCUAAUAUAUGCAUUUAAUGCUGUAGAUUUCCCUCUAUUCAUUGCUUGCUGCAUUUCACAACUUUUGAUAAGUUGUAUUUUCAUUUUCAUUUAAUUCAAAACCCUUUUUAAUUUCUCUUGAGGCGUCUUUGACCAAAGUGGUAUUUAGACAUAUGUUGAAUCUGUAUUCUUACUGACCUUUUGCCUCUUUGACUUAGUAAUUACUGAUAAAGGAGUGCUAGUCUCUAACUAUAAUAGUGGAUUUAUACAUAAACUUAAGAUUUUUUUAUCUCUUCUUGUGUAAUUAACCACAUUAUCAUUAUUUAAUACCCUAUUUAUAACCAACAGUUUUCCUUGUUUGAACUCUGCCUUGUCUGAAAUUUAUAUAAUUACUCCAGCUUUCUUUCGAAUAGUACUAACAUGGUAUAUCUUUUAACUUAUUCAAUUGCUAAAAUUUAAAGUAGGUUCUCAUAGAUAAUAUGUUUGGGUCUUGUUGGUUUCCGCCCAAUUCUGACAAUCUAUUUUUAAAUUGAUUUAAGUGACUCACAUAUGAAGUGAUUAUUGAUACAGUUGAAUUAAUAUCUUUCUAUUAUUUUAAUGUGUCCCUUAAAGUUAAUAUGUUGAAAACUUGAUCCCCAACCUAUUGGUGUUGCGAAGUAGGGCCUGUUGGGAGGUGAAGCCUAAUGGGAGAUGUUUGGAUCCUGUGAGCACCUCUCUUAUGAGUGAAUUAAUGCUGUUAUUACAAAAGUAGAUUUGUUAUAGCAGGAGUAGGUCUCUUAUAUAAUGGAUGAGUUCAGUCCCCUUUUGCCCUCUGCCCUCCUGCCAUAGGAUGAUGCAGCAGGAAGGCCCUCAGAAGAUGCUGGCCCGUCAGUCUUGGGCUUUCCAGCCUCAAGAACCAUGAGUCAAUAAAUUACAGCUCUUUAUAAAUUAACCAGUCUGUGUUAUUUUUAUAGCAACUCAAAAGGACUAAGACAUAUUUAUUAUAUUUGUAACUAUUUUCUAUUUGUUGCUCUUCUUUUUUCUUUUCUUCCCCUUCCUUCUGCCUUUGCUACUUUUAAAUGAAUGUUUUAUUA